AAACGUGUGCUGAAGAACGUCUUCAAGGAGAAGUACGGCAAGGACACCACCAACGUGGGCGAUGAGGGUGGCUUCGCACCCAACAUCCUGGAGAAUAAGGAAGCCCUGGAGUUGCUGAAGACUGCCAUUGGGAAGGCCGGCUACUCGGACAAGGUGGCCAUCGGCAUGGACGUGGCCGCGUCCGAGUUCUUCAGGUCUGGGAAGUACGACCUGGACUUCAAGUCUCCUGACGACCCCAGUAGGUACAUCUCACCCGACCAGCUGGGCGACCUCUACAAGUCCUUCAUCAAGGACUACCCAGUGGUGUCCAUUGAGGACCCCUUCGACCAGGACAACUGGGGCGCCUGGCAGAAGUUCACGGCCAGUGCUGGCAUCCAGGUGGUGGGCGACCACCUCACAGUGACCAACCCCAAGCGUAUCGCCAAGGCUGUGAAUGAGAAGGCCUGCAACUGCUUGCUGCUCAAAGUCAACCAGAUCGGCUCAGUGACCGAGUCCCUGCAAGCAUGCAAGCUGGUGCAGUCCAACAGCUGGGGCGUCAUGGUGUCCCACCGGUCUGGGGAAAUGGAAGACACCUUCAUUGCUGACCUGGUGGUGGGACUCAGCACUGGGCAGAUCAAGACUGGUGCACCUUGCCGAUCCGAGCGCCUGGCCAAGUACAACCAGAUCCUCAGAAUCGAGGAGGAGCUGGGUAGCAAGGCCAAGUUCACCGGCCGGAACUUCAGAAACCCCCAGAGCAAAUAGGCUGCGGCAGGCCAGAGCCUGGGC